CCUACGGGAGGCAGCAGUGGGGAAUAUUGGACAAUGGGCGCAAGCCUGAUCCAGCAAUGCCGCGUGAGUGAUGAAGGCCUUAGGGUCGUAAAGCUCUUUUACCAGGGAUGAUAAUGACAGUACCUGGAGAAUAAGCUCCGGCUAACUCCGUGCCAGCAGCCGCGGUAAUACGGAGGGAGCUAGCGUUGUUCGGAAUUACUGGGCGUAAAGCGUACGUAGGCGGUUAUUCAAGUCAGAGGUGAAAGCCCGGGGCUCAACCCCGGAACGGCCUUUGAAACUAGGUAGCUAGAAUCUUGGAGAGGUCAGUGGAAUUCCGAGUGUAGAGGUGAAAUUCGUAGAUAUUCGGAAGAACACCAGUGGCGAAGGCGACUGACUGGACAAGUAUUGACGCUGAGGUACGAAAGCGUGGGGAGCAAACAGGAUUAGAUACCCUGGUAGUCCACGCCGUAAACGAUGAUAACUAGCUGUUCGGGCACUUGGUGCUUAGAGUUGGCGCAGCUAACGCAUUAAGUUAUCCGCCUGGGGAGUACGGUCGCAAGAUUAAAACUCAAAUGAAUUGACGG
rnacentral:rRNA from 1 species